rfam:Felis catus isolate Cinnamon breed Abyssinian chromosome C1, whole genome shotgun sequence.
GCCUGGGUGGCUCGGUUGAGCGUCUGACUUCAGCUCAGGUCAUGAUCUCACAGUUUGUGGGUUCAAGCCCCACAUCGGGCU